GGCUCAGGAUGAACGCUGGCGGUCUGCUUAACACAUGCAAGUCGAACGGAGUGCUUCGGCACUUAGUGGCGGACGGGUGAGUAACGCGUGAGAAUCUGCCUUCAGGUUGGGGACAACAGUUGGAAACGACUGCUAAUACCCAAUGUGCCGAGAGGUGAAAGCUUUAGUGCCUGAAGAUGAGCUCGCGUCUGAUUAGCUAGUUGGUGGGGUAACGGCUUACCAAGGCGACGAUCAGUAGCUGGUCUGAGAGGAUGAUCAGCCACACUGGGACUGAGACACGGCCCAGACUCCUACGGGAGGCAGCAGUGGGGAAUUUUCCGCAAUGGGCGCAAGCCUGACGGAGCAAGACCGCGUGAGGGAGGAAGGCUCUUGGGUUGUAAACCUCUUUUGUCAGGGAAGAAGAUCUGACGGUACCUGACGAAUCAGCAUCGGCUAACUCCGUGCCAGCAGCCGCGGUAAUACGGGGGAUGCAAGCGUUAUCCGGAAUUAUUGGGCGUAAAGCGUCCGCAGGUGGUUAUCCAAGUCUGCUGUCAAAGCGCGAGGCUUAACUUCGUACAGGCAGUGGAAACUGGAUGACUAGAGUAUGGUAGGGGUAGCGGGAAUUCCCAGUGUAGCGGUGAAAUGCGUAGAUAUUGGGAAGAACACCGGCGGCGAAAGCGCGCUACUGGGCCAUUACUGACACUCAUGGACGAAAGCCAGGGGAGCGAAAGGGAUUAGAUACCCCUGUAGUCCUGGCUGUAAACGAUGGAUACUAGGUGUUGCCCGUAUCGACCCGGGCAGUGCCGUAGCUAACGCGUUAAGUAUCCCGCCUGGGGAGUACGCUCGCAAGUGUGAAACUCAAAGGAAUUGACGGGGGCCCGCACAAGCGGUGGAGUAUGUGGUUUAAUUCGAUGCAACGCGAAGAACCUUACCAGGGCUUGACAUGUCGCGAAUCCCGGUGAAAGUCGGGAGUGCCUUCGGGAGCGCGAACACAGGUGGUGCAUGGCUGUCGUCAGCUCGUGUCGUGAGAUGUUGGGUUAAGUCCCGCAACGAGCGCAACCCUCGUUUCUAGUUGCCAUCAUUGAGUUGGGCACUUUAGAGAGACUGCCGGUGACAAACCGGAGGAAGGUGGGGAUGACGUCAAGUCAGCAUGCCCCUUACGCCCUGGGCUACACACGUACUACAAUGCUACGGACAAAGGGUUGCAAGUUCGCGAGGACAAGCUAAUCCCGUAAACCGUGGCUCAGUUCAGAUUGGAGGCUGCAACUCGCCUCCAUGAAGGCGGAAUCGCUAGUAAUCGCCGGUCAGCAUACGGCGGUGAAUACGUUCCCGGGCCUUGUACACGCCGCCCGUCACACCAUGGGAGUUGGCCACGCCCGAAGUCGUUACUCCAACCGCAAGGAGGAGGAUGCCGAAGGCAGGGCUGAUGACUGGGGUGAAGUCGUAACAAGGUA
rnacentral:rRNA from 1 species